GUGCUGCCUGGCGCUGGCUAGGAGGCAAACGCACGCGGGAAGAGCUGCUACCCAUUCCAGGGACCCUGCCGCUGCCCCUCUGAGGGGUCUGCACCUCCUGGGAGCAGGUGGGUCUCUGGGACGAGGGUCCAUGGUGGAUGGCUCUGGAGACGCUCCCGAGGCUGUGCCGUCCCGCUGCUGCACAGCCCCAUGUGGAACCCAAGGAUGCAGCUGCUCUGCUAACACGGCAGCCCAUCCUUCAAGACUGUGACCUCGCCACAGUGGCCCUCAGCCCUCCACCUCCGGCGGGGGCGAGGGCCAC
rnacentral:lncRNA from 1 species